rnacentral:rRNA from 1 species
AUUGAACGCUGGCGGCAUGCCUUACACAUGCAAGUCGAACGGUAACAGGUCUUCGGAUGCUGACGAGUGGCGAACGGGUGAGUAAUGCAUCGGAACGUGCCCAGUAGUGGGGGAUAGCCCGGCGAAAGCCGGAUUAAUACCGCAUACGACCUGAGGGUGAAAGGGGGGGAUCGCAAGACCUCUCGCUAUUGGAGCGGCCGAUGUCAGAUUAGCUAGUUGGUGGGGUAAAGGCCUACCAAGGCAACGAACUGUAGUUGGUCUGAGAGGACGACCAGCCACACUGGGACUGAGGGACGGCCCAGGCUCCAACGGGAGGCAGCAGUGGGGAAUUUUGGACAAUGGGCGCAAGCCUGAUCCAGCAAUGCCGCGUGCAGGAAGAAGGCCUUCGGGUUGUAAACUGCUUUUGUCAGGGAAGAAAUCUUCUGGGUUAAUACCCCGGGAGGAUGACGGUACCUGAAGAAUAAGCACCGGCUAACUACGUGCCAGCCGCCGCCGUAAUAC